UACGUAGGGGGCAAGCGUUGUCCGGAUUUAUUGGGCGUAAAGAGCGUGUAGGCGGCCAUGCAGGUCCGUUGUGAAAACUCGAGGCUCAACCUCGAGACGCCGGUGGAAACCGCAUGGCUAGAGUCCGGAAGAGGAGAGUGGAAUUCCUGGUGUAGCGGUGAAAUGCGCAGAUAUCAGGAAGAACACCCGUGGCGAAGGCGGCUCUCUGGGACGUGACUGACGCUGAGACGCGAAAGCGUGGGGAGCGAACAGG
rnacentral:rRNA from 1 species